GCAGGGUGGAAACGAAUAGAGUUGACGUAUCCUAAUCCGCAUUUCGUCGGUGUUCGUGGUCGCCGUGAUUGGCGCGCCGUCGUGGCCUCCCGGGGUCGCGGCGGUGCGUCGGUCGUCGGUGGGCUGUGAGCGCCGGUGUACUUGUGGGUUGUUGUGCGCUGGGAGGUGUGCGCUGGUCGUUGGGGGCUUUGGCACGAGGACGCUCGCUUCGGCGAGUGAAACCGGGCCCUGGUCUUCGGCGGUUCGGCGUGCGCGAAGGCGUCGGCUUGGAGCGCGCGGCGUUCCGUCGAUGCUGUGCUGUAUGGCGGUCGCAUGCGACACGUGUACGGUGCGGCGUCGCGGGGCGUCGUGUUCCCGGGUCGGUGUCCCCGGUGUAAAAGUCGAUCAUCUAUUCGACCCGUCUUGAAACACGGACCAAGGAGUUUAACGUCUGCGCGAGUCAUUGGGCGUGGAAAACCCAAAGGCGUAAUGAAAGUGAAUGUGUCCUUGACGGCACUGAUAUGCGAUCCGCGGAGCUGCGGCUUCGCCGGAGCAGCAUAGCCCCGUUCUUGUCGCUUGCGAUGGGGCGGAGGUAGAGCGUAUGCGUUGAGACCCGAAAGAUGGUGAACUAUGCUUGAGCAGGACGAAGUCAGAGGAAACUCUGAUGGAAGUCCGAAUCGGUUCUGACGUGCAAAUCGAUCG
rnacentral:rRNA from 1 species